CUGCCGGGCUUUCAGCGCGGCCGCUUCGGGUGCGCGCGGCGGCGGGCGAGCGGGGAGCUGAGGUGCGGCCGGGAGCAGCCCGGGGUUCGGCGUGCGCCGCUGCGGGUAGAGUGGCCAGGCCCUUAUAAAUGAGCGGGACUCUCUGGUCCUCGCUGGAGCGGUUGUUCUGCGGUGGGUGGUGCUUUUCCCUUUGUUUGCAGCUCUGCCUGGGAGGUGCGGAUGGGAUUUCUCUGAAGACUCACUUUACAGCUUUGAACAGUUAAGGGAUGGUGACCACCACCUACCACCCUUGGCAGCCUGUACUGCUGCCUGAGCUCUGUGAGAAGGAGCUGACAGUAAUACCCAACAUGAACCUUCCCUGGCACGACUGAAGGCCAUUACCUCUCAUCCUAUUGCCAUUACCUGGGAGAAGAGGCCAACCCCCACCUCCCUAAAACUUCCUUUCGGGAAAUACUAGAGAGUGAUGAGGUCUCCCCUAAGCUUUCUUUUCUCCAGACUGUACAAUCCAAGUUCCCUCAUCCGUUACCGAUAAGAUUUGUGCUCCAGCCCCUCACAGCUUUGUUGCUGCCCUUCUCUGGACAUGCUCCAGGGCCUCCGUGUCUGAACACAGCACUCAAGGUGCUCAAUACAGAGACAAUCACCUCCUGCUCCUGCUGACUACCAUUACUGGCCCUCUUGGCUACCUGCUCCCUCUUGUUCAGGCAGCUGUUGAUUAAAACCCCAGAUGUCUCUGAACUAACUAUUUGCUAUUUUUGCUCAGUUAUAGUUCUGUUUAUAACUUCCAGAUGUACUGUUUACCUGUGACAUAAUAAGAGCAACAUCCUUGAAUGUUUGCCAUUUUGCCUAAUUAAGGUGCUCGCUCAAAGUUAUAGUUCUGUUUAUAACUUCCAGAUGUACAGCUUAUCUAUGAUAAAUAUCCUUCCUGACCACAAGACUUCCAUAAUAAAUCCUUGAAUAAAUACUGUAAAAUUGUCA